rnacentral:rRNA from 1 species
GACGAACGCUGACAGUAUGCUUAACACAUGCAAGUCGACCUGUACGGCGCUUUCGGUGGCGGACGGGUGAGUAACGCGUAAAUAACACGCCUCUAACCUACGGACAACAUUGGGAUACGAAUGCUAAUACCUGAUAUUUUGAUUAUAUGGCAUCGUAAGACUAUGAAAGCUAUUUGUGGUUUGGGAUGGAUUUGCGUCCUAUUAGCUAGUUGGUGGGGUGGUGGCUCAUCAAGGCGUCGACGGGUAGCCGGCCUGAGAGGGUGGUGGGCGACAAUGGGGCGGAGAUACGGCCCAAACUACUACGGGGGGAAGCAGUGGGGAAGAUUGCACGAUGGAGGGAAGUCUGAUUCAGCAAGGCCUCGUGCGUGAUGAAGGCCUUCUGGUUGUAAGCAGCUUUCUAUCAUGACGAAGCAUUUAUGUGACGGUAGCAGUAGAAGAAGCAACGGCUAACUACGUG